rnacentral:rRNA from 1 species
GACGAACGCUGGCGGCGUGCUUAACACAUGCAAGUCGAGCGGUAAGGCCUUUCGGGGUACACGAGCGGCGAACGGGUGAGUAACACGUGGGUGAUCUGCCCUGCACUUCGGGAUAAGCCUGGGAAACUGGGUCUAAUACCGGAUAUGACCUCCUAUCGCAUGGUGGGUGGUGGAAAGAUUUAUCGGUGCAGGAUGGGCCCGCGGCCUAUCAGCUUGUUGGUGGGGUAAUGGCCUACCAAGGCGACGACGGGUAGCCGACCUGAGAGGGUGACCGGCCACACUGGGACUGAGACACGGCCCAGACUCCUACGGGAGGCAGCAGUGGGGAAUAUUGCACAAUGGGCGAAAGCCUGAUGCAGCGACGCCGCGUGAGGGAUGACGGCCUUCGGGUUGUAAACCUCUUUCAGCAGGGACGAAGCGCAAGUGACGGUACCUGCAGAAGAAGCACCGGCUAACUACG